rnacentral:rRNA from 1 species
GAUCAUGGCUCAGGAUGAACGCUAGCUACAGGCUUAACACAUGCAAGUCGAGGGCAGCAGGACGAUAGCUUGCUAUUGUUGCUGGCGACCGGCGCACGGGUGAGUAACGCGUAUCCAACCUUCCCCUUAGUAGGGCAUAGCCCGGUGAAAAUCGGAUUAAUACCCUAUGUUGUGUCAUGAGGACAUCUGAAUAACACUAAAGAUUUAUCGCUAAGGGAUGGGGAUGCGUCCGAUUAGGUAGUCGGCGGGGUAACGGCCCACCGAGCCCUCGAUCGGUAGGGGUUCUGAGAGGAAGGUCCCCCACACUGGUACUGAGACACGGACCAGACUCCUACGGGAGGCAGCAGUGAGGAAUAUUGGUCAAUGGGCGCGAGCCUGAACCAGCCGAGUAGCGUGCAGGAUGACGGCCCUAUGGGUUGUAAACUGCUUUUAUACGGGGAUAAAGUGAGGGACGUGUCCCUUAUUGUAGGUACCGUAUGAAUAAGGACCGGCUAAUUCCGUGCCAGCAGCGGC